rnacentral:rRNA from 1 species
UACGUAGGCAGCAAGCGUUGUUCGGAGUUACUGGGCGUAAAGGGUGUGUAGGCGGUUUUCUAAGUCUGGUGUGAAAUCUCCCGGCUCAACUGGGAGGGUGCGCCGAAAACUGGAAGGCUAGAGUGCGGGAUGGGAGAGUGGAAUUCCUGGUGUAGCGGUGAAAUGCGUAGAUAUCAGGAGGAACACCGGUGGCGAAGGCGGCUACCUGGACAGAAACUGACGCUGAGUGCGCGAAAGCUAGGGGAGCAAACAGG